CUUGCUUCUUUGCUGACGAGUGGCGGACGGGUGAGUAAUGUCUGGGAAACUGCCUGAUGGAGGGGGAUAACUACUGGAAACGGUAGCUAAUACCGCAUAACGUCGCAAGACCAAAGAGGGGGACCUUCGGGCCUCUUGCCAUCGGAUGUGCCCAGAUGGGAUUAGCUUGUUGGUGGGGUAACGGCUCACCAAGGCGACGAUCCCUAGCUGGUCUGAGAGGAUGACCAGCCACACUGGAACUGAGACACGGUCCAGACUCCUACGGGAGGCAGCAGUGGGGAAUAUUGCACAAUGGGCGCAAGCCUGAUGCAGCCAUGCCGCGUGUAUGAAGAAGGCCUUCGGGUUGUAAAGUACUUUCAGCGGGGAGGAAGGGAGUAAAGUUAGUACCUUUGCUCAUUGACGUUACCCGCAGAAGAAGCACCGGCUAACUCCGUGCCAGCAGCCGCGGUAAUACGGAGGGUGCAAGCGUUAAUCGGAAUUACUGGGCGUAAAGCGCACGCAGGCGGUUUGUUAAGUCAGAUGUGAAAUCCCCGGGCUCAACCUGGGAACUGCAUCUGAUACUGGCAAGCUUGAGUCUCGUAGAGGGGGGUAGAAUUCCAGGUGUAGCGGUGAAAUGCGUAGAGAUCUGGAGGAAUACCGGUGG
rnacentral:rRNA from 1 species